rnacentral:tRNA from 1 species
UCCCUGGUGGCUCAGAUGGUAAAGAAUCUGCCUGCAAUGCAGGAGACCCAGGUUCGAUCCCUGGGUGGGAAA